UACGGAGGGGGCUAGCGUUAUCCGGAAUGAUUGGGCGUAAAGCGUCCGCAGGUGGCAAUGUAAGUCUGCUGUCAAAGCGUCUGGCUCAACCAGAUAAAGGCAGUGGAAACUACAUAGCUAGAGUAAGGUAGGGGUAGAGGGAAUUCCUGGUGUAGCGGUGAAAUGCGUAGAGAUCAGGAAGAACACCGGUGGCGAAAGCGCUCUGCUGGACCUUAACUGACACUGAGGGACGAAAGCUAGGGGAGCGAAUGGG
rnacentral:rRNA from 1 species